UGGGGAAUCUUCGGCAAUGGGGGCAACCCUGACCGAGCAACGCCGCGUGAGUGAAGAAGGUUUUCGGAUCGUAAAGCUCUGUUGUAAGUCAAGAACGGGUGUGAGAGUGGAAAGUUCACACUGUGACGGUAGCUUACCAGAAAGGGACGGCUAACUACGUGCCAGCAGCCGCGGUAAUACGUAGGUCCCGAGCGUUGUCCGGAUUUAUUGGGCGUAAAGCGAGCGCAGGCGGUUUGAUAAGUCUGAAGUUAAAGGCUGUGGCUCAACCAUAGUUCGCUUUGGAAACUGUCAAACUUGAGUGCAGAAGGGGAGAGUGGAAUUCCAUGUGUAGCGGUGAAAUGCGUAGAUAUAUGGAGGAACACCGGUGGCGAAAGCGGCUCUCUGGUCUGUAACUGACGCUGAGGCUCGAAAGCGUGGGGAGCGAACAGGAUUAGAUACCCUGGUAGUCCACGCCGUAAACGAUGAGUGCUAGGUGUUGGAUCCUUUCCGGGAUUCAGUGCCGCAGCUAACGCAUUAAGCACUCCGCCUGGGGGAGUACGACCGCAAGGUUGAAAC
rnacentral:rRNA from 1 species